AACGAACGCUGGCGGCAUGCCUAACACAUGCGAGUCGAACGAGACCUUCGGGUCUAGUGGCGCACGGGUGCGUAACGCGUGGGAACCUGCCCUUAGGUUCGGAAACUCCCCGAAAGGGGUGCUAAUACCGGAUAAUGUCUUCGGACCAAAGAUUUAUCGCCUUUGGAUGGGCCCGCGUUGGAUUAGCUAGUUGGUAGGGUAAAAGCCUACCAAGGCGACGAUCCAUAGCUGGUCUGAGAGGAUGAUCAGCCACACUGGGACUGAGACACGGCCCAGACUCCUACGGGAGGCAGCAGUGGGGAAUAUUGGACAAUGGGCGAAAGCCUGAUCCAGCAAUGCCGCGUGAGUGAUGAAGGCCUUAGGGUUGUAAAGCUCUUUUACCCGGGAUGAUAAUGACAGUACCGGGAGAAUAAGCUCCGGCUAACUCCGUG
rnacentral:rRNA from 1 species